rnacentral:rRNA from 1 species
GAUGAACGCUGGCGGCGUGCUUAACACAUGCAAGUCGAACGAAGCACUUUAACCUGAUUCUUCGGAUGAAGGUUUUUGUGACUGAGUGGCGGACGGGUGAGUAACGCGUGGGUAACCUGCCUCAUACAGGGGGAUAACAGUUAGAAAUGACUGCUAAUACCGCAUAAGACCACGGAGCCGCAUGGCUCAGUGGGAAAAACUCCGGUGGUAUGAGAUGGACCCGCGUCUGAUUAGGUAGUUGGUGGGGUAACGGCCUACCAAGCCAACGAUCAGUAGCCGACCUGAGAGGGUGACCGGCCACAUUGGGACUGAGACACGGCCCAAACUCCUACGGGAGGCAGCAGUGGGGAAUAUUGCACAAUGGGGGAAACCCUGAUGCAGCGACGCCGCGUGAGCGAAGAAGUAUUUCGGUAUGUAAAGCUCUAUCAGCAGGGAAGAAAAUGACGG